rnacentral:rRNA from 1 species
UACGUAGGGUCCGAGCGUUGUCCGGAUUUAUUGGGCGUAAAGAGCUCGUAGGCGGUUUCGUAAGUCGGAUGUGAAAACUCAGGGCUCAACCCGGAGACGCCAUCUGAUACUGCGAUGACUUGAGUCUGGUAGGGGAUCACGGAAUACCUGGUGUAGCGGUGAAAUGCGCAGAUAUCAGGUGGAACACCGAUGGCGAGGGCAGUGAUCUGGGCCAGUACUGACGCUGAGGAGCGAAAGCGUGGGGAGCAAACAGG